AAGCCUCCUUUCUGUCCCUCGCUGCGCACUGUAGAAGCAGGAAGAAGUGCUGUAACAUUUUAAAUACAUUGCAUGCCUGUCCUCUUUGAGAUACAACCAUUAGAAUGGAGGCUGAAACGACAAAGUUGCUUAAUAACGGCUCACGCUGCAUAUUUUUCAAUACAGAUUCAGACGACUAUCGAUGUGUGGUGAUUUUAACGGUGAAGCGAGCAACGGGCACCUUCUCAUUAGUUGGAUGCUUUUUCAUGCUGUUUGUCAUCUGGUUGCUGCGCAGGUAUCAGUCUUUGGCUCAGAAGAUGAUUCUUAGCCUGACAGUAGCAGCCUUCUUUGACAGCGCAGCAUAUGUCAUGGGCGAGUCCCAUCCGGAAGGCUUUCUGUGCGCUUUUCAGGGGCUGUGGCUCACUUACUUUGACUGGUGUGCCCUGGCCUGGGUCUGCCUCAUCACAUUUAACCUCUACCUCAACCUGGUCAGAGAGAUCAGCACCAGCAGAUAUGAGACAUUGUACCAUGUGACCGCCUGGGGGCUGCCUCUCAUCAUGGCUGUCCUGCCCUUGCUGAAGGGCUGCUACGGUCCGGCGGGAGCCUGGUGCUGGAUCACAGACAAUCACGUAGCCUGGAGAUUUGGGAUAUGGUACGUUCCUCUGUUCACCCUCAUCGUCCUGAUGAUCUGCUGCUACGCCAGGAUCAUCUUCGUGGCCAAUCGAAGGAUGCAGUCCUGGCUUGGAACCUUCAACCCUGAGAGGGAGAGACGCAAGGCUCCCAGGCGCCUUCCACCCCGUGGAUCCCUCCUUCGCCCUGACACUGCUACACGUGCUGACCGCUCCGCUCCACGGCCUGGCCAACGCGUUCGUCUUCGGGCUGGACAGGGACACCUGGGGCCUGCUCAGCCCCACGGGCAUACAGCUGGCCCUGCGGUCCCGACUGUGUGACAGCACACGUAUCGGGGAGUACCACCCCGGGGCGGUGCGCUACACGCAGGCUGACCUGACGGAGGACGAGGAGGACCUGGACGCCAACGUGCUCUUCUUCUCACCCCACAUGACCCUGAAGGACCGCACGCCCUGAGAGGGGAGGAGGGAGGAGGGAGGGAGGGAGGGAGGGAGAGAGAGAGAG
ensembl:lncRNA